rnacentral:lncRNA from 1 species
ACUGCAAUGUGUCUUCAGGAACAAGCCAAUUUUCGCCCCAUGAUCAGCGAUAUUGUUACAGCCCUUGACUAUCUUGUCGCUCAAGCACAAAGCUCGGGUCCACAUAGAGGUGGUUCACACACUGGCAAGAAAACAUCUCCAUCAGAAGAAGAGUUUAAUGGCAGUACAAGAAAGCGAAGUUUUGAAAACAUCUCUGUUACAUUUUAAGAUUUUUUUUUUUCUGAUCAAACUGCUACAUUUCUGGAUGGGGGCUACUCAAAACAUAAUGAAAAUGUUUGGAUAUCAGUCAAUUCAGCUUUUGAUUAUGAGGUAAGAAGACAUCUUCAUGACCACAUCAUUCUUUUUUUGAUAAUCAAAAGAGAUGGAUUUAACUUAGAUCUAUUGACAUACACGAUCAGUAUAAUUUAACUUGUAAUAGCAGGUUGCCUACAUUAUUUUGCAUGUAGCUCCACUUACUACGGAUAGUUACAUUACAUGUAGUUAUUCUUUAAAUGAUUUGAUAGUGUAAAAGACAUUGUCAGUGAACAAUCGCAAGCUGACUUGGUUGGAGAUAAAUCCCUUCUUUUCUUAUCACCUUAAUCACAGUUUAUAACAAAUACAAACAUUUUUGGUAUUUCAGAUGAUGUUUCAAUGAAUCAAGAAGAACUUCACUGGAUUUGCAAGAAUGCUGUAGACAGCUCUUUUUCUGUACUUUGGCUGCUUGUAACCUGGAUCAAGGAAUCAUUGAUUGUUUCACAUAUUUGUAUUUGGUCUAUAUGGAAAACAAAAAAACAAGGAUGUAUAUUAGCAUCGAGAUUGUAUAUAUACCUGUACUUCUCGUAAGCUUCAUGCUUAUAAUUGUGAUCAUGUAUAAGCUAAUAUAAUAUUAGAACAAUAGAUAAGAUUGUUGAUGACACAAUUUUUUAUCAUCUUGCAUUCCGAUCCCUUUAUUGAUUCAAAUAAUCUUUUGUGAAAGAUUAGGACCUAAGCUGCUUUUGAUCCAAAUUGACUGUAAAUCUCUUUCAGUUCAUAAAAUCCAGUACAGGUAAAAAAUUUACCUGCAGCAAGGUGCUUAGAUCACAGAAAAUGUUUUAUGCAGAAGGUUUUAAAUUUGAUUGUAGCUUAUGCACCUUAUAAUGGCGAUCUUAAUUCAGUGAUACGUGUGCACAUGGCUAUAUUAUUACUUUUUGCAUUCGAAACACACCUGAUCUACACCUAGUUCGGCUGUAAUGUGCAAAGAAUGCCAAAUCAAGAAAAAAGUACUAUUAUGUUGCAGAAUACUCAUGGUUAACUAGCACAUAAUCACACAUAAAACAAAUAAAAAAGAUGAAAUAACAUUAAAUAUUUAACGAGGUUCAAUCCAGCCAAGUUCUCAAGGCAGAAGCAGAAAAAAGACAGUAUAGUACCUGAGAUAAACAAUUACAAUCCAUUUUUAAUGCCCCAAGUGUUCCUAUACUUACGGGGCCACUGGGCCUUAAGACGAGAACAUAACAUGAUUCGGAUUCAAGUCGUGCGGCUGCGCUCUGGUCAUGCAACGAUAACGCAACUCUCAGGAGUUGUCCCAGACCGCGCUCAAAUCACCUAAUCAUCAGAAGCUCUUCUGUGACGGGGCAGUGCUAAAAAACAGUUCUGAGAUUUUAUUCGCUGGUCCACAACGCGGGCUUUGCGAGGUCAGAUCACACCACCAUAAAAUUCAACAACUUCAAUGUUGAAAUAUGCAUGCUUAGGAUGGUGGUUUUCUCUGGUGGGGCUAGUCUCCCACCAAUGUCAUAUCUUCAUAAUAAAUAAAGUAGAAAUCUCUAUAUCAGAAAAGUAAGCAGAUAGUGCAGCCAAAAUGUUUGAAAUAGCUCCAUAUGGCCGGUAGUGACUUGCAACUGGUUGGCAUGUGGGCAUAUGUAGCUCUUUACCCUAAAAAUUGAAUGAGGUGACAUUGACCUGACUAGCUAGAGAGAAUCUUGUCCGUUGGCAGUUGAGUUUGCUGCAAAAGUUUCUGCACAGUUUCUUGAUAUCUCCAGCCCCAGAAAAAUGUGUAUGCGCCUCACUCUUGUGUUAGGGAUUGAGACUCUGGCAAGAAAUUGCACAGCUUCUUCUGUCUCUAUCUUCUUGUGGACUAAUGGUUGGAAU